rnacentral:rRNA from 1 species
UACGUAGGGACCGAGCGUUGUCCGGAAUCAUUGGGCGUAAAGAGCGUGUAGGCGGCUAUUUAAGUCCUGCGUGAAAUCCUGCGGCUCAACCGCAGACGGUCGUGGGAAACUGGAUGGCUAGAGUGCGGGAGAGGAGAAUGGAAUUCCUGGUGUAGCGGUGAAAUGCGCAGAUAUCAGGAAGAACACCCGUGGCGAAGGCGGUUCUCUGGAACGCAACUGACGCUGAGACGCGAAAGCGUGGGGAGCAAACAGG